GGAGAAAGCACUUGAUUGAGCUAAAAUAGUUAAAACCUUAUUCCGUAAUUCCCCACAUUAAACAUCCAACUACAAAAUAGUAAAUUUGCAAGGUACAAAAUGCGCAAUUAAGGUAUAAGCAUGAGAGAAGCAAAUCCGAUUAACAGUAAUUAACUCACUCUACAUCAAACCCUUUCUCUUGAAGCUCAGAAAUGACCUCAUUCCUCAUCCUCGUCCAUAGCUUGAAGGCUUCUUGGUCAACUUUCUUAUCCUGCAAUGCUUUCUGAUAAUUGUAUGAAUCUUUAUCAGAUUCGAUGAUUCCCUUGGGACCAAUUGUAGUUCCAAUCAUCCCACCUUUGGCAACGAAUUCUUCCAUGGCUUUCUCGUCACCUGGAUAUGGAAAUUUCCGGCGUUCGUAUAGAUGUGCUAAUUCUUUUUCUUCCUUUGGCCGUGGCUUUAAAGUCCACCAACCAAGCGGCGAGGUUUCAUUCCACACCCACGCCACACCAAACAGAGUGUAAGUACAGAGCAAAGCUUUUCCCACUUGCUUCCAGAAGUGAUAAUCUUCUUUCCCUAAUCCGACUCUCUUCAGAUACUUCUGGGCAUCGAAUGAUUUUGCCAUUGAAGCACCUGCUUUAGUACGCAUCCUCAGACUAUUUAGACGAAAAGCCUUUGCUAAUCGC
rnacentral:misc_RNA from 1 species